rnacentral:rRNA from 1 species
UACGAAGGGGCUAGGCGUUGUUCGGAAUUACCUGGGUCGUAAAGCGCGAGCGCAGGCGGUCUUCCAAGUCAGUGGUGAAAGCCCGGAGCUCAACAUCCCGGGAACCUGCCAUUGAAACUGUUAGACUUGAGGAUGAGAGAGGUGAGUGGAAUUCCCAGUGUAGAGGUGAAAUUCGUAGAUAUUGGGAAGAACACCGGUGGCGAAGGCGGCUCACUGGCUCAUUACUGAACGCUCAGGCGCGAUAGCGUGGGGAUCAAACAGG